GUUGAUUCUAAUUUUGUUUCAUUCUGUGAGCAGUGAAACCAGUCUGACCAGUUCUACCAGCCCCUGGGCUGAGCAGGUGUCUCUGCGACUAUCACACUCUCACAAUUGAUCCCUUCUCUCUAUCUGUCCCAGCCAUCAGGACCUCCAUCUGUGUCCUGGGACCCCCUUUCUGGAUACCAUCUGCUCUGAACUCAGUGUGUCACACUGUUUGUCUUCUGCCACUGUCUAGAUACUUUCCACCAGUACUCUCCGUUUGCCUUAUAAGUCCCUCUGCCUGUCCCCUGGAAGCCUCUGUCCGGACACUGACUGGGGAAGCCUCUGCCUUUCUCCUGGAGACUCUGUCUGGACACUGUCUGUGGAAACCUGUGCCUGUCCCCUGGAAGCCUCUGUCCGGACACUGACUUCUGGGAAUCCACACGUUGAAAAUAGUGCAAAUUUAUUGGCCAGGUUGCUGACGAGGAAGACCGAGAGAGAGUGGGUGUGGAGGGUAUAAUUCCUCUCCUAGGGGAGUCUUGGACCAGAGGGCACAGCCACAGGAUAGAGGCUUUAGAAUACAGGAAUUCUACAGAUGCUGGAAAUUCAAGCAACACACAUCCAAGUUGCUGGUGAACGCAGCAGGCCAGGCGGCAUCUCUAGGAAGAGGCGCAGUUGACGUUUCAGGCCGAGACCCUUCGUCAGGACUAACUGAAGGAAGAAUUUACAGCAGCCUUUGUACACCAAGGUUCCUGUAUCCUUCUAUCGUUUCCCUGUCUCACUGGAACAUAACUAUGCAGAACCCCAUAUUCGGAGUGAGGCUACAAUGAUCCAGUGGACUCCUGCGAUCCAGUGGGGACAGAGAGACAGUGGAAUCCAGUGACGAAACCCCCAGUGGCCCAUCGGAGGGAACUGCAUUCACCUCGAGGUGGGACUACAGUGAAAUAGCAAGAUCUUCAGU